rnacentral:lncRNA from 10 species
AGAUACGGGACUGUACCAGGAUCAUGUUUGCAACCCAGGAGUCUAGCGCAGUAUGUGGUACCUAGUAGAUGCUCAAUAAAAGCAACUACAUUAUGUUCUCAAGACAUCACCUGGGUCUCAGAGAAAGCAGAAUUGCAGGACAGAUGCUCUUUGGGAGCUGAGGGUGCCGAAGGACCCAGCCAGAUGGAAAAGAAGCUGUGAAAAGCUGUUCACAUCCUGCAAAAGGGAGCAUGGAGAGGCGGCGGCAUGGGUAGUAUGUUAAUGAGUGGGGUCGGGGAUGAUUAGCUCAAUUGCUCACACAAAAUCUUUCUUCUCCCCGGAAUUUGCUGUUAGUACUCUGAGCUAUGGACUCUGAUGCCAGCAUGCUAAUUUGGACCUGCAUCUCAGUGGGCACAGCAGUGAGUAUUUCCAUGAGGCUCAGUUUCCACUUGCUUCUGUACUCUUCCCCAUUGCACUCUGAAAAUCCAAGCUUUCUUUUCAUGUGUCACACAGUAUCUUAGAAGCUCCUGGGUUACAGAUUCGGGGAGAAAAUCACCAGCCAUUUCUGGCUUUGGGAGGCAGCCGCCUCUGCUGCUGACAGCUGCUGCCCAGUCCUGCUGGAGAUGGAGAGUCGAGGCUGACACCUCUGCUGGGCAGAGCAGUAGGAAAGGCAUUGUCUCUCCCAGCUCCCAGAGUUGGCCAUGAAAGCAAAUUCCGGUUUUUGUUUUUGUAGUGUUGAGAACCAUCAGUCCCAAGCCCAGCAGAAGAUCAUUGCCUUUCACCCCCAAGCCACUUGUCAUAAAAAUUAAAAGCAUAUAAAUUCUUCACUCUACAGUUUUUCUUCUCAGUGGAUGGCCAGCAUCUUCAGCUCUGUGAGUUCUUUUUAUAAACACAUAUGCACCAAGCCUCAGCUAGCACCCCCUGCCCAACACCAAUUUUUUUUUCUCCUUUCCUGCCUGAGCAGUUCAAAUUGAUGAGAAAAUAUUAACUGGGGCUCAUUUUACAUUAACUAGUAAAUGCUCCAUCACCAAGCUAAAGGCAAUGGAGUAAAACCAGCUCCCAUUAAGUUUCCGUGAAUCCAUCUCCUACAGCUGUGACUUCUUUCCCUGCUGUGGCCUCACAUUCAUGUAACACAUGUGCUUUGUAAGCCUUAGGCCAUCUGAUUACCCUAAAAGGAAAUACCCAACAUAGGGGAAAAUAUGGGGCUUAGUACAGGCUAAUGGUUGAAAUUCCUUGG